rfam:Parcubacteria bacterium GW2011_GWB1_43_8 TW04_C0048, whole genome shotgun sequence.
GGAGGGUUGGCAGAGCGGUCUAAUGCGCCGCACUCGAAACGCGGUUGGGAGCAAUCCCUCACAGGUUCAAAUCCUGUACCCUCCG